rnacentral:rRNA from 1 species
GAGCGGCGAACGGGUGAGUAACACGUGAGCAACCUACCCUUCACUUCGGGAUAAGCCUCGGAAACGGGGUCUAAUACCGGAUAUCACUCCUUACUUCAUGGUUUGGGGUUGAAAGUUCUGGCGGUGGGGGAUGGGCUCGCGGCCUAUCAGCUUGUUGGUGGGGUAAUGGCCUACCAAGGCGUCGACGGGUAGCCGGCCUGAGAGGGCGACCGGCCACACUGGGACUGAGACACGGCCCAGACUCCUACGGGAGGCAGCAGUGGGGAAUAUUGCGCAAUGGACGGAAGUCUGACGCAGCAACGCCGCGUGAGGGAUGACGGCCUUCGGGUUGUAAACCUCUUUCAGCAGGGACGAAGCGAGAGUGACGGUACCUGCAGAAGAAGGACCGGCCAACUACGUGCCAGCAGCCGCGGUAAUACGUAGGGUCCGAGCGUUGUCCGGAAUUAUUGGGCGUAAAGGGCUCGUAGGCGGUUCGUCGCGUCGGGAGUGAAAACUCGGAGCUCAACUCCGAGCCUGCUUCCGAUACGGGCAGACUAGAGGUAGGCAGGGGAGAGCGGAACUCCU